UAGGGUUUUCACCUUGCAUGGAGCAAAAUACCAUGUGUAAUUCUCGUAUGUCCAAUACGACAUCUGGUAAAAACUACUUGAUCAAAUCGAUUCUUAAAAUGUCUUAAAAUUCUGUGUGAAACUUCAGGUUGGAUUUGUAUGCAUGGAAAAUAUAUUCUAUGAUAUAAUAAUUACACAUUGAGCCAGCAAUUAUUAUAUAAUUUGAGUCAAAUUCACAACAGUCUCAUUUGAACUUUUAUAAAUAUGCUCAUAUCCAUCAUAAAACUAUAAGAUAAAACGGAAGAAGAAUCUUAGUCUUUGUUAUUCCAAGUCAUGUUAUUAUGAGUGUGUUGAUGUGAACACUGAGCCUGGUCCCCUUUCUCCGCAAGAGUGUCAAAGUCUGGAUUCUGCUACGUCAAAAAAUGCGAGGCGCAGCAGGCGGUUAAAACGUGAGGCGCGCAGGGUGCAUAAGCAGCCCAUCACAUGGCGUUCACUUGUAAUUGCAUCAUUAAAUUACUAAUUCUGAACCAAACCAUUACUCAGAAGCAGCAUUUUAAAACUCCCUCGCGGGCCAGAUGAAAGUGUUCAGCGGGCCGCAUAUGGCCCGCGGGACGUAAUUUGCCCAUCUCUGGGCUAAACACUUUGAGCUAGUUGGUCAGGCAUGUUUUCUGGGCUGCGUAAAACAGAUGCAAGUGUGAGAAUCAGUUCAGCAAAACUGUUCUCUAGCAGUUUAAGUAGAUUUUCAUGGAAAUAAAAGCCAAUGUUAACUUUUUUAUACUCAUUUCUGGGCGGCUCAUAUAGAUUAUCUGGGGCAAAUUUGGGAAAAAGGACAAGUAGCGUUAAAAUGUAUUCCUGUACUGUACUGUCACUGCUGUAAUGGGCGGAGUUUUAAUGUAUGGUAUUGGUUUGAAUCAGCGUGGACAGUGAAAUGUUUUGUACUAUUGAAGGAAUAAAAUUACAGUCUAAUGCUUCUUUUGAAUUAUAUACAUGUGGUCAUGCUUAUUUUGCAUAUGUAUAUGUGUUUGCUUGAACCAUGAUAAUCUAAUGAGCCUACGCAGUGGUAUGCUGAGACAUUCUGUUUGACCUUAAAAUGAGACAGGAACUUUCCACCCCUAUAAUGUCAAAUAACUAAAUCUGUAACAGACAAGUCUUGCAGAAAGUCCCUGUCUGGGUUGCAGCUGUGACGUGUGACUUUUCUACACAGAAAAGAGAACUGGAGCAGAAAAGGAAAAUAUUGCUUUAUUGUCUUACUAAUCACUCUUUUCUUUUGAUAUAUUUUGUUAUUGGAGGAAUAUACUCCCAUUUGCCCCACUAUUCAUUAUUUACAAUAUGUGUUUUUGUCAGAUAUGAUGAUGUCUCCUGAUAUAGCGUACUUCUACUUAACUCCUGUUAUAAUGCGUUUCUAACUAACUGCUAAAACCACAAGAGCUGUGUGUGGGUGCUGGCUGGAGACAGAGCUGCAGAGGGGCUUCCCCUAGAUGGGUGCAUACACGGGUCAAGAGUUCAUAGACAGGACUAGGAGGAAAAGCAGAUGUGGUAGAUGCAGCAUUUGUAUACUGCUCUCUGUUUGCUUGCUGCACCCCAGAUGUCAGUAGUGUCAAGUAUGUCAAGGAGGAGUGAUACUUUCACCUGCCCUUUUGUUUCUGUGUGCAGAGGUAUCUCUGUGUGCUGACCACAGACUUUUGAGAGAUGAUUCUGCCUGAAAACAGCUGAUGGCAACAAUACAGAUUGGGGGUAACUGAUCAGAGGAGUGGCCAAAAAGAUUGAACGCUGCUGAUGGAUAAAAGGAGGGAGUCGAGAGAGUUCGAGAGCUUUUGGACAUCCAGACUGCUUGGCUGACGGUUCUUCAAAAGCCCAGGAUCCUGAUCUUCGCUUUAUUCACUUAUGCUCGAUAAAUAAAUUCAUUGAUUUUGA